rnacentral:rRNA from 1 species
AACGAACGCUGGCGGCGUGCCUAACACAUGCAAGUCGAACGCGAACGGGUCUUCGGACCCUAGUAGAGUGGCGCACGGGUGAGUAACACGUGGGCAAUCUACCCAGGGAUUUGGGAUAACCAGGGGAAACCCUGGCUAAUACCGAAUACGUCCAUGAGGCCUUCGGUCCUCAUGGAGAAAGGUGGCCUCUUCUCGAAAGCUGUCGUUCCUGGAUGAGCCCGCGGACCAUUAGCUUGUUGGUGAGGUAACGGCUCACCAAGGCCAUGAUGGUUAGCUGGUCUGAGAGGAUGAUCAGCCACACUGGGACUGACACACGGCCCAGACUCCUACGGGAGGCAGCAGUGGGGAAUCUUGCGCAAUGGGGGAAACCCUGACGCAGCAACGCCGCGUGGGUGAUGAAGGCCCUUGGGUCGUAAAGCCCUGUCUGGAGGAAAGAAUCCCGCUCUCGCUAAUACCGGGAGUGGAUGACGGUACCUCUGAAGGAAGCACCGGCUAACUCCGUG